CACCUUUAAAGUUAAACCGUUACUAAACGAAUUUUUCGCAAAAAUGAGUUAUCAACGCCAUCUUACUAAAGGACACGUAAACUACAAUAUGAAAUAGACCACUUCUUCAAAAUUGCCUUCUUUCGCCUUCUAGCGUUAAAGCAUAACGUUACUAAGCCAAACUUUGAACGGCUCGCUAAAUACAAUAACGGGUCUAUGCAAGUAAGAACGUGUUUGUUGCGGAGUGAUGACGAAAGUUUAAAUUCAUAAUGUGAUUAUUUGGAUAGUAACGGCCGUUCGUCACAAAAAUGGUGAUGGCGUAUUUCCGGAACCCACGUUUGGCUCUCAUUAUGGAAGCUGUGGACGCUGAAAAAGAUUCCUCAUGUUUCGAAGAACCCAAGCAAACAUCUAUCGACGAACUUAAUAUAAUUUUAACUAUAUUUUUAACUUUUCCCGGUCUAAAUGUAAGACUGCACACUUGUCUACACCAAACUCCAUCCUGAUGGCGUUGCUAAAUACCUGUGUUGUUUUUAGCAACUUCACCAGGUCUUGUCGUUUUGUUGCGAACAACUUGAGAUCAUCCAUGUAGAGCAGGUGACUAAUGACCUCACCCCCUCUUCGUAGCUGAUAACUAAGCACUGAAUCCUUUAACAGAGUGCGAAGAGGAUUCAGUGCUAGGCAGAACCACAAGGGACUCAAACUGUCACCCUGGAAAUGCCUCGCUCAAUCCUUAUGAAGUUCAAUGGAUCAGGAGACCUCUCACCACCACCUGGCUGCCGAAGGACUGUAGUCCACUGCCCCAUGCAUGAGCAUGAGCGUAAAAAGGAUCUCAUUGCAUCUACCUUAUACAACUCUAAGAUCCUUUCUCGCCAUGAUUGAGGCACCGAAUCAUAGGCCUUCUUAUAGUCAAUCCAGGCAGCAGAGAGAGCUUUCCUGCUCCGCCGAACUUGUUGGCUAAUGGUUAUGUCUAUGAGGAGGAGCUCUUUAGUACCACGAGACUCAACCUUACAUCCAUUCUGAGCAGUGGCCACAAAAUAUUGUUCAUUAUUUUUAUUAUUAAGUGAUUUAAGGUAGGUAUGUGAACAACCUUUCGAGGGUAGGGAAAUAAUGCUGAGAUUGUUACUCGAGUUUAAUAUAUUUUUUAUGUAUUUUUCGUAAUUGCUAGGUGUUUUUUUUUCUUAUUCGUUAUCAGUUAUACUUCCUAUGAUUUAAAGGUACAAAAUGUCUUAAGACUGAUUAAUAAAUAACUAGGCUAAAUGCUUGUAUGGAUAUCUUUAAUUUGUAAUAAAAUAUUGUUGAUUUCGAA